ACACCUUCAGCAGGUGACCUCUGCCCUCCCGAUGACACCUACAUCUUCAGAACAAGAGACAGCUCUGGGGAAACUUUGGAAACAUGAGAGCUCUGAUGUAAACCUGAAUCAGCCAGAACCCAGAAGGAAACACACCUGGGGACGUUCAGGAAAAACCCCAUUGAGAUCGAAAUCUCCUUUACGAGUGGGACCUGACGUAAAACACAGUUACACAAGACACCGCUCAAACGAGUCACAGACAUCAAACUGGGAACGAGACCGCAGUGUAACGAAAUGGACGCAAGCUGUGUUUUGCAUUCUGAGCAUCUGAUCUUCCUUGGAGCCCUGGAUGGGAUUGUACAUGGGGAUGAGGCUAUUGAUUCCCACUUGGACAUCAGUCAGGAAGGAGCAGAAGAGAAACACAAACACAGCAUAAUGUCUGUGAUGAAGGAAUGAAGCGGGUGUUUCAUUGGAGUGUGAACAAGCGUUUGUUUUAAUGAGAUGGGCCGCCAGACCAAAGGGCUGUAAUUUCAGGGAACCUCGUGAUUAGGAAGGUAGGGAGGUGCUUCACCUAGGCCCAGAGACACUGCAACACCUGUGCCUGCCCCCCUCACCCUCGUCAUCCUCACGCCGUCAUCCCGUUAAACCGCAUGUUCCAGUGAGUCAUCCGCCGGGGUUCAUUUACAAACCACUGGCAUAGAAAAGAGCUUCCGGUCCAGCUAUGUUCACAAAAACUAUGUGGGGGCAGUUUUACUGGAGCAGAAAUCAAACUUAACCUUUUGACCCUUCACGGGAAGCUGCACCCAGGCUCUUGGGAGAGAAUAACAACAGCUAGAGCUCUGAUUUGCAUAAAAAAGAUACUAUAUGUUGAUACAGAUUAGAUUUUUUUUUUUUUUUUUAAAGCAUAGCACCAGCUGCAGACAAAGAUUAUCAGCAGUUUGUCGAAGGUCAUAGGAAAUUACUGAUGUACAGUUGAACCCAAACAUUUUGCUUCUCUUGUUUGGUCUGCUUAUCUUGUGGCAUUGUAGUGUGGAAAUGUUUUUCAAAUGUACGGACUGCUGAAAUGUGACGCAAAGCUCCCAGGACCUAUUUAUUAUGUCCAAACGGUAUAUUGAAUAAUUUUAAUUUG